GUUCUUGUGGAGCAAGGUAGCUUGUUCCCUACCUUGGGAAAUUCCGUAUAAACAGUUCGGGAGAGUACGAAGUAGGUGGUUCAAAUCCACCCAGGGACU